CCUUUACAAUGUGCGAAAGCAUGAUAAGGGAACUCCGAGUGCCAGUAUCUAAUACUGGCUGUCCUUGUGCCUAAAACGCACAAGAUAGCAAGGGCCGGGUAAGACCGGCGCCAGCCGCCGCGGUAACACCGGCGGCCCGAGUGGUAGCCGCUAUUAUUGGGUCUAAAGGGUCCGUAGCCGGUUCGAUAAGUCUUCUGGGAAAUCUGGUUGCUUAACAAUCAGACUGCCAAGGGAUACUGUCGAACUUGAGACCGGGAGAGGUAAGAGGUACUUCAGGGGUAGGAGUGAAAUCUUGUAAUCCCUGGGGGACCAUCUGUGGCGAAGGCGUCUUACCAGAACGGGUCUGACGGUGAGGGACGAAAGCUGGGGGCGCAAACCGGGAUUAGAUACCC
rnacentral:rRNA from 1 species